UCUCUCCUCUGUUUUUGCUUGCUCCAAUGGCCGGGGCUAAACGACGUCGUUGCUGCGGUUUACAAGAUUGGCUUCGCCGGAGAUUCCGGAGUGUUUGUCGGACAAAGGUAAAGAGUUUUUGGGGAAAUGUCUGAGGAAAGAUCCGAAACAGAGAUGGGCUGUCGAAGAGUUGCUUCGAAGAGGACCGAACUCAAAGUCAGGUCUCUGUCUUGUCUGAAUACUUCCUCUCCUAGUACUGUGUUGGAUCAACGUUUCUGGGAUUCAUGCGGAACUUGGAGAAGUGGGUUAGUCAAAGCGGAUCACGAAGACACAUUUGCAAGGGAUUCUUCACCGGCUGAUCGAAUCAAGAAACUCGUCCGGGAUGAGGGUUCCGGCGAGAGACGGAGUGGAGUACGGCGGAUAAUAGUUGGAUUGAAGUUAGAGGUGACGGAGAUUACCAUAAACCAGUUACUAAUUACUUGAAUAGGGAUGAUGAGUGAUGGCUGAACUCGACCA